rnacentral:lncRNA from 1 species
CUUGCAGGGUUGCACCCCUGGCCUCCUUCACCUCUGGCGGUCUGCUGACCCCCGACAGCCUCAGCGGCGCUCACCGUCGUGCUCCAGAACUUCGACUCAUUCUCUUAUUGGAGAAAGAAAAUGGAAAGAAGCUUGUCCAAAUCACUUCUGAUAGCUUUCAAGUACACCACUUCUCUGAAAACAUCUCUGCCAAGUCAACCAUUUAUAAAGUAACCAGGCUAGUCGUCAGACACAGAAACUGUCUGAGCAGACUGGAUAAGAAAAUUGCCUCAUCCACGAAACAAGAAGAUACCUCAUUCUUUUUGCCCUGAGAAAAAUCAAUAUGUAAUCAAAAUUUUUAUUUGUUUCUUAAAACUACCCAGAAGGUUGAAUUUAACUAUUUCUCAUCCUGCCAGCUGUGUCAAACACCUCAGCAGAAAUUGUAAGUACCUCUCAAAGUGUUUCUCCCACUCUGCUCUGUGACAAGUCUGAAGCUGGGAAGGGUCUUCUUUUGUUUAGCUUUUGGCACGACUCCUUUUAAGGACUUUCAAGACACUCUGUGUUACACUGAAAAUAAAACAUGGCGAGACCUUUUCAUUAGAAAGGAGAAAAGAGAGUGAUA